GGCCAGUAAAUGUUGAGGACCUUAAAGCAGACCUCUCAGAUGAAUUUUCCCUGGUUUCUUCAAACUUGGAUAUAAGCCAGAGGAACAGUUUGGAUUCCAAGGAACAUAUACAAGUUUGCCUUCGUAUUAGGCCUUUCACAGCAAGUGAAAAAGAAAAUGAAUCUCAGGACUGUGUUUCUAUUCAAGACUCAACUAGCAU